rnacentral:lncRNA from 1 species
AAAUUUGCUCGAGGUCCGAUCCUAAUUUUGAGGGAUUGCAUGCAUCUCAAAGAAGUAAGGUUAUAGACUUAGGCUUAUAAUACAUUUAUGGUUCCCAAUUUAUUGAGUUAACCUCUGCCUCUGAAAUGCUUCAAAUUCAUGAGGCAGAUGGGAGUUCUAAUAUAAAGAUGUUCGUUUCCUUGCUAUAUUUUGAGGAAAAUGAAAAUGAUUGAAUUUAAUAGAUUUUAUUUUACCCUUUGUAGAGAUUAGUGAACACGGAUGCUGUGAUGGAGCUCCUGCCUUGGAAAGAUAGACUUAAGAGUCUAUGGACGGUUCACAUACUAAUCAAAGCUUUAGGAAACAUGUCCAGUUAAACAUAGGUGAGAAUCAAGAAGAAUUUUAUCUUUUGAUUACUAUUGCUUUUAAUGUGUAGCCAAAAAUCAAUAAGAAACCUAGCAGCAUCAGUAAUGGGUAGUUUGAACAUUGACAUUAGUAGCAUACGAAUACAUGGGAUGGGAUAGCGAAGAAGCAUGAUGACUGACCUAUAUAUUCAUGUGUUUAUUAUAUAUUCAUGACCUAUAUAUUCAGAACACAGUGUCACGUCACUUUCAUCUCUGUAUUCCUUUUUUUCUUUUCCUUCACACAUUGCUUUCCUUCUUUUCUUUCUCCACCCCAUUUUGGUGAAAAACCAAAAGCUACUUUGCAAUCCUAUUCUACAAUGCUUUGACCAAUGCUUUCAAAAUUUAAAUUUCAAAAACCCCUCCAAAAUCAUUCUCUAAAAUUUGCUACAUUUCAUUUUUCUCUUAAAUUUUUUGUUUGUGGUCCUUUUGUCACACUCUAAGUGGAUCACUUUUAGUUUCGUAUUUUUAUUUUUAUUUACAUAGAAGGAAUUAUUGUCAUUCUUUGAAUUUCUUACUAUAGCGAGUUAGUGAGGUGCAUAACUUGAUUGUAUUUGAAAACUCCUCAUUAGACGUUGAAGUUAAUAUCACAUAACUUGAUUCGUAUGCUACAGCCACUUCAAAUCUGGUUUUGUGCACACUUAACUGAUUUUGUUUUAUACCUGGCAGAGAAUUCCAUGGAGAUCGAACCUUAAAUGAGAAACAAGUUGAGAUUCUUAAUGACAUCACUAUCAUUUUCAGAGGUAACCCUUAUUUCUUUCUAUUUUCCGUUACGUCAUUAUUUAUAAAAAAUAAUGUAACUACUUUGUUGUCAAUGAUUUGCAUUCUCCAAACUUCAUGUAUAGUAUUAUAAAAGAAUAAGCCACCAGACUCUCAAUGCAAAACAUGCCUAAUAAUCGGUAUAGUGCGGUAGGGCAUUCAACUCAAUAUCAUUUUGUUUUGGUUGUUUAACCAUGUUUUAAUUUCGAGUUUGUGCCUGAACUAACAUAAGUGGUACGAUGUUUUGGCAUCUAGAAUUAUUUUGAUGAUUGUCUUUUUCUACAGUUUUUGACCAAAUAUUACAGAGCAUGUCAUACGGAAAAAAUUAGAAAGGAAGGAGCAAGAAGAUUAGCUAAAGCUUGAGUGCAACUAAGAUAGAUACAGUUUGUAAUAAAUAUAAUACCCUUAAAUGUUGAAUAGAAUCACUGUCUAACAUUGUUUUUCCAAUAUAAUUAUGCUUAUUCAAUAGCUUUAAAGCAUUGCUUUAUUUUUUUCAAAUGCAUUGAUUUGGUGAAUUAGUCUUCAAUUAGAUUUAUUUUGGUUUUUUGUUUUUUAUUUUUCCUUUUUGUUGAUAGUUUCAUUGCAUUUUCUACGUUGCUCUAUAGUUUUUCAAUCACAUUAAUUAUUAACAUUCAUAUUCACGAUGAAGCUAAUUGUAUUAGUAUAAAACAAAAUACGUUUAAAACGUUCUCUUUAUUAAUCAAUUCUUAUAAGACGAGAGGUUAUAGUAUAUACUAUUGAUAUUAUUUUUUUUGUUCGAUCUGAUGUUAGCGAGGAAGAAUAUAUAUU